rnacentral:lncRNA from 1 species
GAGUUGCAGGUGGCCAGGGGGCUGUGGUCAUUCUAGAAGCCGGACUUUCACUGUGAGCCAGAGUGCUCCCUGGCCGGCCUUAAAUGGUAGGACUGCCGAGAAGAAAACUGAGUUCCGAAGAACCCCGGGCAGAGCGAACCAACCGGCCACCCUGUGAACUGGAGGGCUGGGGAGACCUGUUGGCCCCAAGGACGUAGCGUUUGCACCGCUGAACGCCCGACGUGGAGCCGACUGUUUGGGCGGCCCAAGCGUGGAGGCCUACCGAGUGGGCUGGAGAUGAGAGAUCGAGACCGCAGGGAGAGGCAUCUAAGGGAGACAAGCGUGCGCUUCAAUCAAACUUGUGAUGAGAGAAGAGUCACAACUCUUGGAGAUUAAGAGAAUUUGGAAAGUGAAAGAAAUCCAAAUAGGUACUCACUGGGCCCUCAGUGUAUCAGGUCAAAGUCAGCACAAGACCGAAACAUCAUUAGCUGUCCUUCCGCACUGAGACAGAUUCCUGCAGGACUCAACAUUUAUAGCUCAGGAGGCACAGAGCUUCCCCAGAGGGAACAUGCUGGAUAAUUUAAAAUCUCUGAGGUUCUUGAGGAAAAGGGGGCUUUCUCCUUUCUGUCAUCCCAGUAGAACACAAUAAAACUUGUCAGUCACACACCGUGGUAUAUACUGCAGACAAAUACUCCAAUCUAGGCGUAGGAGGGCAUGGGUUUAUAUUAUGUGUGCUAAGUCUUCUCUACAAAGAUUGGAUAUAGUGCUGGUGUAGAAAAUGAAACCAUCGAUAUUGAGUGUCCUGGGAGGUCAGAUUGCUGUCAGAUAUGACUGCUGGACAUGGACACAGACAUGGUCAUGGACAUGGUAAAGUGGAACUUCCAGAUUACAGGUGGUGGAAAACUGAAGGGGCACCAUUAGAAAUGAUGAUGAAGAAGCUUGCUGCAGGAAGGUUGAGGGAUCCAUGGGCUUGCAAUGAGUCUUGGAGAUACAUGGGCAGCUUUGCAAGCAAUGCCACCUUCCCGAGUGUAAUCUUAAAAGGAUUCAAAUGGGGGUUUGCUGCGUUUGUGGCAGCUUUAGGGGCUGAAUAUUUCCUGGCUUCCCAGAAUGAUGAUAAGCAUCACUGAAGAGAACACCUUGUGACGUCUCUUUCAUAAAAAUAACGUUCUCUCACUGUAGCAUCCUUGGCUGUAUGUUUGUCCUUGAAAGAGGAAGAAAUAAAUAAA